GUUUUCUUGUCAAGUUUAUGUAGUGAUCUGCUACCUCUUUCCCUGGUUUAUUCCAAUUCGCUAGGUAUUGGAUCUUCCAUAGGUUCCCAGCUCGAUGAGGGAAAGGAGAUGUUGUUGAAGGAAUCUCAGCCAUUCUUCCACCAUAAGGAUUGAAAUUCAGUGAUGUAUCCACCAACUCAAUCAUCUUCCUCCAAAUCCCUUCCAAACCCUCUUUGGAAAUUGAUUUCUUAACAUAAUCAGAUUUCCUUUUCAAGUAGUUGACUGAUUGUGGUUGUCUAUUAAGCAAAACCUCAACCGGAGCUGUGAUGUUGAUGUUUGUCCAAAACAGCACUGAACCAAGCCAGCUUGUUUCGAUGCAAUCGGAUUGCUUCAAACCCAAUUGAGGGAACUUGUCAUUCAAGAGAGAAACAAGGCUUUUGGAGUCACCAAGGAAUAGAGCUACGAAGGUUGCUCUUAUAGUCUUUGUUUCAUUUUGUGUAACGUUCACAACGUUCAAGACAAGUCUAAUGAAAAGGUUGUUGUUGAUGGUUGGUGCAACAUGCUGCCAAUUAUAAACUAUGUCAGUGGCAUUUUGCUCCAGCGUUUUCGGAACCCGGAAAACAGUGACUGUUUCGGGAACUCGAACUAGUUUUAUUUUGUAGGCAAGAACCACACCAAAACUAGCUCCACCACCACCUGUGAUGGCCCAAAAGAGAUCUUCACCCAUUGAUUUUCUAUCAAGUAAUCUACCUUGAACAUCAACCAUUAGUGCAUCAAUAACAUUAUCCACUGAGAGACCAUAUUUUCUCAUCAUGUUGCCAUAGCCACCACCACUUAUGUGUCCUCCUACCCCAACAGUGGGACAAACCCCUGCUGGGAAAGCAUGAAUUUUACUCUUCUCAGCAAUUCUGUAAUAAACUUCACCAAGCGUUGCACCGGCUUCGACCCACGCUGUCUCGGUUUUCAUGUCAAUCUCAAUGGAUCGAAGAUUGAACAUGUCAAGGAUGAAGAGUGGCUGUGAAGCCACAUAAGACAACCCUUCGUAGUCAUGGCCACCACUUCGGAUUUUCAUCAGCAAUUUGUGCUUUUUUGCACAAACAAUGGCUGCUUGCACAUGGGAAACAUGAGAAGGGGUCACUAUAAGGAAUGGCUUCCGGGUUGUGGAGGUGUUGAAACGAAGGUUUCUGAUGUAGGCUUCCAAGACUGAAGAGAAUAAGGAGUUGUUUGGUGUGAAAAUUGCUGAUGUUAUGGGGUAAGAGGGCUCUGAGUUGUUUAGAAGGCAUUGAACAAAAGUGUUGGGAGCUGAAUUUGCAGCUGAAGCUGACCAAGGAAUAGAAAGCAACACGACAAUGGAAAAGAAUGAUAGUUGGAUUCUAUGAGGAGAAAGGACUCCCAUUUUUGCUUAUAUUAAUGAUGGUGUUAGAAUAACAAAGAAAAGAGGAUUCCUAGUGAGUCUAUUUGGCUUGAUCGGUAUUGGAUUUUAUAAGGAUCGGGCAGAAAUGUCAAAGAUAAAUCAUAAAUGAGAAGGUGGCUUAGGGUUACAGUCGGAGAAACAAAAUAGGUAACUUAACUCAGUUAUUCUUUGACCUUGCAAAUGCACUUUUUUUAUUUCUGAAAGGAAAAUGGUACAAGGUACAUCUCAAUUGUUUUUGGAUGUACGAGUGAAAAAGGAAGGUAGAGAGAGAGAAAAGAAGAAGAAAAAAGAGUGAGAGAGAUAAACGGAGGUAUUAAUAAAGUGUUGGCCUCAAAAAUCUCUUCCUGCUGGCAAUUUGUCUUACUUUGUAAUAAGCAAAUUUUAUUUUGGUAAUUAAUGAAGGUGUUAAUAUUGUUUGAUUUUAAAGGUCAACUUUAAAAAAUCUUACAAUUUGUGAGUUGAGAAUUGAGAUUUCUUAAAUUAUAUGAUGACUAGGCUUGGUUUUUGUCAAAAAUGGAGGGGUUGGCUGCUUUUGUUUCUAUCAUGGUUAAAGGCAACUCAUCUAAUGAAAUAUCGUUGUCAAAACUCAAAAGGUCUAAGAUAGUGUGAUGCCGUUGCUCCUUUUGACUAAGUGAUUAAAUGAAAAGGGUAAUGGAGAUUGGAAAUAUUUCUGGUUUUAAGGUGGGAGGAGUAAUUAAGUGAGAUGUAUUUUCUACGAUAUGUUGAUGAUGAUACUUAUUAUUUGCGAUCUAGCUAUCUCCGAAUUUAGUCACUAACUAAAUAAAGGUUGUUUUUAGAAGGAGAAAUGCUAUAUAUAUCCUCCGCCAGAAACCUUCUGACGCAAUAAAAAAUUUAUACCUGUCUCUAAUUUUACUAAUAAAUAUUCAUUUAAUUUAACAUUUAAAAUAUAAAUAUUCUUUCCAGAAUUACCCUUCCUCACGUGAUCGCACCCUUGUUACAUGUACAACAGAUUUGAGAGGUGUGGGGCCCUUAACGUAGACACGCAUGUUGAGAGGUGUGUCAAAAGCUAACAUGAAAUGCAAAAACAAGUCAAAGGAGAAAGCUGUUCUUUAGUUAACAUGAUACUCUUGGAUACAUGUUAAUAGCACAAGAAAUACGUAAAAUGCAGCAAAGCAAGGUUUCCAUUUCGUUUCAUAAUGGUUAGGUGCCAUUAUGCAUAAUAAUUAUAUGUGAGGAGUGAAGAGUAACAUGUUAACUAAAGAACAGAAAAAAAUUACUAAUAUAUUUUUAUGACAUUUUAUUAGAUGUUAUGUAUAGUCUAUCAAGAUGUAUACCUAAUAUUUGAUAAAAUAUCUCAAAAGUAUACUAGUAACAUUUAUCUAUAUUUGACCAUUUUUUUAAAAUAUUGUAAAAAAAUAGUAAUACUUUUAUUAGAUAUCAGACAAAAAAAUUUUAUUAAAGGUUAUAGUAAUGUAUUUACAACUCUUCACAUGACACUUCCUUAACAAAAAUUCUGGAUUUAUGCUUGUGAUUAUUGAAUUAUUGUGCAUAUACAUUAAUUACAGAUGAGGAACAUAUUGGUAACAAAAAGGCGCUUGAUUUAUCCUCCAUUUGCAACAAAUUAAAAGCUAGUUUGCUAUUAAAAGUGGCAGGACUCCUUGUUAAUUGCACCAUUGAUUAAAAUUUUAAUCAUUAAAUUAAUUUAUUUCAUUCUAUUAACUUCCUAAACCUUCCGAUUUCUUAAAUUUUCCUUCAAGUGAAGAACUUCCACAUAUACCACCAACUAGAAGCCCACCAAGAGUCUAAAAUCACAAAUAAUAACUUAUGGAAAUUCCAAAAGUGUGCCAAAAUUAAAUUUUGGGUAGAAACCACAUGUGUCUACAUCUUACAAUAGUCCUUCACCCAUGUGUAAUCAUACAAAAUCUGGUAGCAUCAACAAGUCAAGAAAUCAAGUCAAACAAGUCGUUUUUCAACAAAAUACAUACAUUAAAAUUAAUAAUUAAAUGUAAAAAAAAAACAUUUGAAACACAUUUAUACUACAAAUAUAUAAUCAUGCUAGUAACAAAAAAUUUGAUUUUUGUAAAAAGGAAAAUUAUGCAUAUGAACGCUUGUCCUUAGAAGUUUUUUUGGGAUACAUUACUCGAAAAAUGAUUACUAAUGAGGGUAAAUUUCAUCACUAAAAAUAUCAAAAAUCCGUCACUAACGUAGUCUGUGACGUAAUUUGUGAUGAAUAUCAUUUCUGUCACAAAAAUUAACAUUGCAAAAUUUUAUCAUGGGAUAUUUUAUAAUCUGUCGCAAACUGUGACUAAAUAUACCCGUCACAAAUAUACAAAUUUCAUCACUAUAAACUGAUAAUAAAGGAAACAUUUAUAUAUAUAUAUAUAUAUAUAUCCAUCGCUAUUUAUGAUAGAUUAUAAAUCCCUCAAAUUUACAAAGAACAAAAUUUGUCACAAACAAAAGGAAUUUUUAGAUUUCUUGUUCUUAAUGAGAAAAUUUGUUCCUUUAAAUUUGUGAGGGUUCAAAUCUCUCAUUGUUUGGGACGGAAUUGUCCCUCACAAAUUUAGAAGAAAUUUUAAUUAUCUAUCUAGUUUGUGAGGUUUCAUUUUUAUUUGCUUAGAUGACUGGAUAUCUAAAAAAUAAAUUAGAAUGAAAUAAAAAUAAAAACAAAUCUUUACUAAUUAAUAAAGGAUUCAGAAGCUGAUAAUUUGAAAUUGUAUUUAAUUAGUAUUUAUAUAUGAAUGAUUAUAUUAAUUUAAAAUUAAUUAACAGAUUUAAUUUGAUUAAAGUUUUAGUUACAGAAAGUUAAUAAAUAGUAUAGUAAUUAAUAUUUUUAGAUUUUUUUGAUACGUUAUUUUCAAAGAUUCUAAAUAUUUUUCAAUGUAAAGACCAAAAAAUUACAGUAAUAAGCUUACAUUACAUGGUUCGAAGAAAUCACAUUAUAAUUAAAAGUAACACAUAAACUAAUAAAAUAGGCUUAAUUAUAUAAUUAAUUCCUUAAUUAAAUUAAAAAUUCAAUUGGGUCUUUUAAUUAUUAAAAAAUUCAAUUAGAUUGUUUGAUUGUUUAUAAAUUCUUCAAUUGAGUCUCUCAAUUAUUAAAAUUUUUAAUCAGAAAACUAGAAUCAUACCAUAAAUUCUUUAGUUUGAUCGACAAAAGUUUUAUAAAUAAACAUUUUUAUAUCAAUUGUAUUGAUUAUUGAUGUAAAAAAUAUAUCUAUUCACAUCGAUGAAAGAUCUUAAUAAGUACUUUGUUUUUACAUGGAUUGUAUUGAUAAGCAAAGUAAAAAAAUUCUUGUUUAUGUCAAUUAUAUUGAAAAUUGAUGUAAAAAUAUUUAUUUUUAUCAAUCAAAAUAAUAGAGUUGACAAAAAAGUACGAUAGUGUUUUUAAAUAAUUGAAUGAUGUAAUUCAACUUUUUAAAAUUAAGGAAUCAAAUUAAAAUAUUUUUAAGCAAUUGAAGGAUCUAAUUUAACUCUUUAAUAAUUGAAAAAUCAAUUAUAUAUUUAAGCCAAUAAAAUAAUAUAUUUAAUAAUUUGUUUUACUGAAUUCUAACCGUCUUUUUAUCAUCCUUAAUUUAAGUAAUUUUUUUAUUUACCCACGCAUGGCAUGGAGCCAUAUCUAGUUGAACUUACAUCUAACAAGCUUUAACACCAAGUUAUUUAUUUCCACAAUCCAAUUUAUUACAGACAAACAAAGCAACAACAAACCAUAGAAAAAACUAAUCUUUGAAUACAAAAAAGAAAAAGAAAAUAUUAGUCACCAUUAUUCUAACCCUUCCUAUAUGACAGCGUAGGGAUGCUUUGUUCGUUCCUAAAGAAAUUAUGGGGAUCAACCUUGGUCUUUAUUUGAACCAACCUGUCGAAGUUAUCCUUGAAAUACUCCACUCCAUAAACUCUCCCUUCAGCGUAGCUGUUUUUACCAUUGUGGUUAAUCCCCAAGUCAAGGUCCUUAUAAUUGUAGAAAGCCUCUCUAGGGUUCUUGGAGACAAAAGGAGUCAUGAACUUGUGAAGUUUUCUUGUCAAGUUUAUGUAGUGAUCUGCUACCUCUUUCCCUGGCUUAUUCCAAUUCGCUUGGUAUUGGAUCUUCCAUAGGUUCCCAGCUCGAUGAGGGAAAGGAGAUGCUGUUGAAGGAAUCUCAGCCAUUCUUCCGCCAUAAGGAUUGAAUUGAAAUAGUGUAUCCUCCAACUCAAUCAUCUUCUUCCAAAUCCCUUCAAAACCCUCUAUGGAAAUCGGUUUCUUCAC
rnacentral:lncRNA from 1 species